CUGAGUACGGCGGAACACGUGAAAUUCCGUCGGAAUCCGGGAGGACCAUCUCCCAAGGCUAAAUACUCCCUAGUGACCGAUAGUGAACCAGUACCGUGAGGGAAAGGUGAAAAGCACCCCGGAAGGGGAGUGAAACAGUUCCUGAAACCGUGUGCCUACAAGUAGUUAGAGCCCGUUAAUGGGUGAUAGCGUGCCUUUUGUAGAAUGAACCGGCGAGUUACGAUUUGUUGCAAGGUUAAGCGGAAAAAGCGGAGCCGUAGCGAAAGCGAGUCUGAAUAGGGCGCAUAAGUAACAGGUCGUAGACCCGAAACCAGGUGAUCUACCCAUGUCCAGGAUGAAGGUAAGGUAAUACUUACUGGAGGUCCGAACCCACGCACGUUGAAAAGUGCGGGGAUGAGGUGUGGGUAGCGGAGAAAUUCCAAUCGAACUUGGAGAUAGCUGGUUCUCUCCGAAAUAGCUUUAGGGCUAGCCUCGAGGUAAAGAGUCAUGGAGGUAGAGCACUGUUUGGACUAGGGGCCCUUCUCGGGUUACCGAAUUCAGAUAAACUCCGAAUGCCAUGUACUUAUACUCGGGAGUCAGACUGCGAGUGAUAAGAUCCGUAGUCGAAAGGGAAACAGCCCAGACCACCAGUUAAGGUCCCCAAAUAUAUGUUAAGUGGAAAAGGAUGUGGGGUUGCUUAGACAACCAGGAUGUUGGCUUAGAAGCAGCCACCAUUGAAAGAGUGCGUAAUAGCUCACUGGUCGAGUGACCCCGCGCCGAAAAUGUACCGGGGCUAAACAUAUUACCGAAACUGUGGAUGAACCUCUUUAGAGGUUCGUGGUAGGAGAGCGUUCUAAGGGCGGUGAAGUCAGACCGGAAGGACUGGUGGAGCGCUUAGAAGUGAGAAUGCCGGUAUGAGUAGCGAAAGAAGGGUGAGAAUCCCUUCCACCGAAUAUCUAAGGUUUCCUGAGGAAGGCUCGUCCGCUCAGGGUUAGUCGGGACCUAAGCCGAGGCCGAUAGGCGUAGGCGAUGGACAACAGGUAGAGAUUCCUGUACCAGUGCUAAUUGUUUAACCGAUGGGGUGACACAGAAGGAUAGGGAAUCGCACGAAUGGAAAUGUGCGUCCAAGCAGUGAGUGUGAGAAGUAGGCAAAUCCGCUUCUCGCGAAGCAUGAGCUGUGAUGGGGAAGGAAAUUAAGUACGGAAGUUCCUGAUUUCACGCUGUCAAGAAAAGCCUCUAGGAAGAGUAGUACUGCCCGUACCGCAAACCGACACAGGUAGAUGAGGAGAGAAUCCUAAGGUGAGCGAGAGAACUCUCGUUAAGGAACUCGGCAAAAUGACCCCGUAACUUCGGGAGAAGGGGUGCUCUAUUAGGGUGCAAGCCCGAGAGAGCCGCAGUGAAUAGGCCCAGGCGACUGUUUAGCAAAAACACAGGUCUCUGCAAAACCGUAAGGUGACGUAUAGGGGCUGACGCCUGCCCGGUGCUGGAAGGUUAAGAGGAGUGCUUAGCUUCGGCGAAGGUACGAAUUGAAGCCCCAGUAAACGGCGGCCGUAACUAUAACGGUCCUAAGGUAGCGAAAUUCCUUGUCGGGUAAGUUCCGACCCGCACGAAAGGCGCAACGAU
rnacentral:rRNA from 1 species